UACGAAGGGGCUAGCGUUGCUCGGAAUCACUGGGCGUAAAGCGCACGUAGGCGGAUUGUUAAGUCAGGGGUGAAAUCCUGGAGCUCAACUCCAGAACUGCCUUGAUACUGGCGAUCUUGAGUCCGGGAGAGGUGAGUGGAACUGCGAGUGUAGAGGUGAAAUUCGUAGAUAUCGGGAGGAACACCAGUGGCGAAGGCGGCGAUCUGGGUAGAUACUGACGCUGAGGUGCGAAAGCGUGGGAGCAACAGG
rnacentral:rRNA from 1 species